rnacentral:rRNA from 1 species
CCUACGGGUGGCUGCAGUGAGGAAUAUUGGUCAAUGGGCGGAAGCCUGAACCAGCCAAGUAGCGUGCGGGAUGAAGGCCCUACGGGUCGUAAACCGCUUUUACACGGGGAUAACACCCUCCACUUGUGGAGGUCUGCAGGUACCGUGCGAAUAAGGGCCGGCUAAUUCCGUGCCAGCAGCCGCGGUAAUACGGAAGUCCCGGGCGUUCUCCGGAUGCAUUGGGCUUAAAGGGAGCGUAGGCGGGCGGUCAAGCCAGCUGUAAAAUCGCGCGGCGCAACCGCGCCCCGCAGUUGAAACUGGACGCCUUGAGUUCACAACAGGCAGGCGGAAUUCGUGGUGUAGCAGUGAAAUGCAUAGAUAUCACGAGGAACCCCGAUGGCGAAGGCAGCCUGCCGGGGUGCGACUGACGCUGAGGCUCGAAGGUGCGGGUAGCAAACAGGAUUAGAUACCCCUGUAGUC